rnacentral:rRNA from 1 species
CUCGUAGGCGGUUUGUCGCGUCGUCUGUGAAAUUCUGCAACUCAAUUGCAGGCGUGCAGGCGAUACGGGCAGACUUGAGUACUACAGGGGAGACUGGAAUUCCUGGUGUAGCGGUGAAAUGCGCAGAUAUCAGGAGGAACACCGGUGGCGAAGGCGGGUCUCUGGGUAGUAACUGACGCUGAGGAGCGAAAGCGUGGGGAGCGAACA